AGACCCGAAACCCGGUGAUCUAGCCAUGGGCAGGUUGAAGGUUGGGUAACACUAACUGGAGGACCGAACCGACUAAUGUUGAAAAAUUAGCGGAUGACCUGUGGCUGGGGGUGAAAGGCCAAUCAAACCGGGAGAUAGCUGGUUCUCCCCGAAAGCUAUUUAGGUAGCGCCUCGUGAAUUCAUCUCCGGGGGUAGAGCACUGUUUCGGCUAGGGGGCCAUCCCGGCUUACCAACCCGAUGCAAACUGCGAAUACCGGAGAAUGUUAUCACGGGAGACACACGGCGGGUGCUAACGUCCGUCGUGAAGAGGGAAACAACCCAGACCGCCAGCUAAGGUCCCAAAGUCAUGGUUAAGUGGGAAACGAUGUGGGAAGGCCCAGACAGCCAGGAUGUUGGCUUAGAAGCAGCCAUCAUUUAAAGAAAGCGUAAUAGCUCACUGGUCGAGUCGGCCUGCGCGGAAGAUGUAACGGGGCUAAACCAUGCACCGAAGCUGCGGCAGCGACACUGUGUGUUGUUGGGUAGGGGAGCGUUCUGUAAGCCUGUGAAGGUGUGUCGUGAGGCAUGCUGGAGGUAUCAGAAGUGCGAAUGCUGACAUAAGUAACGAUAAAGCGGGUGAAAAGCCCGCUCGCCGGAAGACCAAGGGUUCCUGUCCAACGUUAAUCGGGGCAGGGUGAGUCGACCCCUAAGGCGAGGCCGAAAGGCGUAGUCGAUGGGAAACGGGUUAAUAUUCCCGUACUUGGUGUUACUGCGAAGGGGGGACGGAGAAGGCUAUGUUGGCCGGGCGACGGUUGUCCCGGUUUAAGCGUGUAGGUGUGUGUUCCAGGUAAAUCCGGUUCACUUUAACACUGAGGCGUGACGACGAGGCACUACGGUGCUGAAGCAACAAAUGCCCUGCUUCCAGGAAAAGCCUCUAAGCAUCAGGUAACAUCAAAUCGUACCCCAAACCGACACAGGUGGUCAGGUAGAGAAUACCAAGGCGCUUGAGAGAACUCGGGUGAAGGAACUAGGCAAAAUGGUGCCGUAACUUCGGGAGAAGGCACGCUGACACGUAGGUGAAGUGAUUUACUCAUGGAGCUGAAGUCAGUCGAAGAUACCAGCUGGCUGCAACUGUUUAUUAAAAACACAGCACUGUGCAAACACGAAAGUGGACGUAUACGGUGUGACGCCUGCCCGGUGCCGGAAGGUUAAUUGAUGGGGUCAG
rnacentral:rRNA from 1 species